rnacentral:lncRNA from 13 species
AUUUCAGCUUUGAAGAUUCUCUGUUUGACUUUGGCUGUGGUCAUCUGAUUUUGAUAAGCCUACAUUUGGAUAUUUUUCAGAUAAUUGCACUUGGGAGAUCAUUGAACUUUUUGAUUGUGUGAUUUAGUGUUUCUCUUUAAAAUGAAAUUUGAGAGCAAGAAUAUGGAGUUGGGGAUAUCCCACUCAUCUCCUUCCAAAGAAACAAGCAUUUGGCAGCCUUUCACAGAAAAAAAGCACAGUUGUGAGUGCACUGGAAUUCAGGUCAGAGGUAGCAAACCUCAGGAUAGCCCAAGAAUGAAGACGGCUGCUUUAAAUACUUAUUAUAUUGGGUAAUGACAGAAGAAAGCCACUGUACUAGAAAGGGCGUAGCCCAGACUUGCUGUAAGAGGGUGAUUUAUGCACCAGUCCAUAGGCUGACACUGAUGACCAAGGACACCUGGGGCUGAGCUGUACACCCAGGGAAGCAGGGCCCAGGCAGCCUGCCAUGAGAUCGUGCUCCAAGGACCGGCCGUUCUGCUGGACCCACGGGCUCCUGGUAUUCAUCAGCCUGCUCCUCAGUGUCUGCAGCUCUGCAGCCAACACUUCCGGAGCGCAUGGCUCUGCUGUGAAGGAUUCUGAAAACCACAUUUAUCUGAAGCGCAUCCGAGGAGGUUCUGUCUUGUUUAAUGUGACCGAGAAGCCCAUGGCAGAUGCAGGAGCCAAAAUACAGGAGGUUUUAUGGGGUUUGGGCACUCCGUCAAAGUACAUGCGGCUGCUGCAAGUCCGUAGAGGAGCCGACUCUCCCACCUGGUUUAACCUCCAGGACAAGUUCAAGCAGAGGGUCCAUGUGCCCAGCCUGUGGUCUCUGAGGAUUGAGAACCUGGCCCCUGAAGACAGUGGGCCAUACGUGGCCAUGACCAGCUUAACUGAUGGACAAACGCUUGGUCACGUUUUCUACCUGACUGUCUAUGAGCCUGUGCCUCACCCUGAGAUCCUGGCCAAGUCACUGUCUAUCACACCAGGCCUGUGUAACAUCACUCUGGAGUGUAGGGUUCCAGGGGCCACCCAGGAUCUGAAUGUGACUUGGGAGAGCAAGGGCCUCUUCAGAGAGCUGGAACAGAGAGACACACCAGGAUCAACCGCCAAGCUUUGGACCCUGGCUGUGAGCCUGCCCCUGAGCCAGCAGAUUGGCGAUGUCACCUGUGUGGUCAGCAACCAGGUGGAUCAGAAAGCUGCGACCUUAGACCUUGGAAAAGUCUGUGCCCAAGGAACAAGUACACAAAAACAGGACAUGAUUAGACUGCUGCCAGGCAUCCUAGCAGCUGCUGUGGGUGUCCCGUUGGUCCUGGGAACUGGGUUGUUCCUUUUGAAGACAUGUCAGAAGAAGAAGAAGACAACAAUGGAAAUAAAAAGGGGUGGAGGAUUGCAGAAGAACCAUGGGGUUGAUGAUGGUGGCAUCCCCUUUGAGACGCUCAGCCAGCAAGUGCAAGGUGAGGGCAAGGGCAAGAGCAUCGGUGAACAAUAUCUGGGAAAAAAGGAAUCUCUCAUUACUACCUGCAGUGAGGUCUGUUAUCCAGACCAGACGAUGGAGAUCAUUUGAUUGGAGGAAGCAGGAGGAUCUGGCACUCCCAGGACACCUGCACUCUGAGCCUAAGUCCUGCAGACCCCUGCCUUUCCCAGCUCUGAUUCAGUUCCAGCUUCCCCUUGUGUGUGUUGAAUUGUCAGAGGCUGCAGUAAAUGUACUCCCUUGGAGAGGCAUCGCUGCCAACAUUUCUGAAAGGCUAUGUCAGUACCAGUGGGGCCCCUGCAACAAUACUUGCCAUCCAGCCUGGACUUUCUUGGACCAAAUCAAUCAAUCUAUCUUUGCCAAAAUCAGAUGAAAUGUCAACUCCAACCUUGCCUUGCAUCAAAAGCCUUGGUAUCCUGCCCAAUAUGCCUGAAACGGCAUAUACUGGGAGACUACUGUGCUGGUAGCUGGUCUCCAUAUAGCUCCCCUUUGUUUGGAGACUUUAAAUGGCUACGCUAAUGCCACUCUGGGGUUUCCCCCACCAGACAAUUGUCAACACAUACUCCAAAUCAAUAACACUACCCCCAACGAAACACAGUCUCUUUCCUACUUCAAUAGCACCUUAUACACUCUAAUUAUAGUGAAACCAUUGCUAUCCCCUGGGGGCCCUCUGGCUAUGCAGAUCCUGUGGGUGGUGAUACCUGCCUCCACAUUGGACAGGGACAUGCACUGAGGGUGGCCAUUAAUUUUAUUCAUGGUCUGGGAUAAUAUUCCCCUCCCCAGUAAUCUAGAUGCUUGCAAACCUCACUGGUUAUGAAUGUGCCAGACUCUUUUUUGGUGGGACCCUAUCACAGCAUUCUUUCCCUGCCACUGGUACAAUCCUGUUUCAGCAACAAAUUAAAAUAGUAAGCUUAUAUGUAGUAAAAGCUCUUAAUGAUAGUAGCACUAAACUUGUGUUGUCGUUGGAUGAAUUUGCUCAGCUGCAUACUGUUGCAUUGCAAAAUCGAAUGGAAUUAGAUACGUUUACCGCAGUCUGAGGAGGGGUUUGCACCUUACUGUAUACUGAAUAUUGUAUGUAUAUCCCUGACAAUUCUCACAAUAUUACCCUUCUUGCCCAAGACAUGCAAAAACAAGUAAAACAGUCAGAAUCUAACCAUCAGCAUCCCAUCAUGGACUGACUGUCCAGCUGGCAUUGGCACUGGCCAUGGUAGGUGUGGAUUUUAUUAAUUAUGCUUUUAAUUUUCCUAUGCUUGUCCUGUAUGUGUAACCUAUAUCAACUAUGUAUUCCUGGUUUAUCUGUAAGGUAUUUUCCUUAUAACUGAGUACUAAAUUGAGGCCAAAUGUGGAGCAGAAGUUAAAUAUUAAAUUUAAACUCAAUUGAACAUGGACACAAACCAGAUAACUUCUAAUCUUAUGGCCUUGGGCAGUCUAGUCUACAGACAUGAAGGAAGUUUGUUUGGGAAAAAAAUAUUGAAGAAUAAUUUAUAGAAAAAAGAACUGUAUAUGGUAAAUUCUUAUCCUAAAAGUAAUUAACUGAUUUUUUUUUUUGAGACGGAGUUUUGCUCUUGUUACCCAGGCUGGAGUGCAAUGGCGCGAUCUCGGCUCACCACAACCUCCGCCUCCUGGUUUCCGGCAGUUCUCCUGCCUCAGCCUUCUGAGUAGCUGGGAUUACAGGCACGUGCCACCAUGCCCAGCUAAUUUGUUUUUUUUUUUUUUGUAUUUUCAGUAGAGAUGGGGUUUCACCAUGUUGACCAGGAUGGUCUCAAUCUCUUGACCUCAUGAUCCACCUGCCUCGGCCUCUCAAAGUGCUGGGAUGACAGGUGUGAGCCACCGCGCCCAGCCUAAUUACCUGAUUUAUUAAAAAAAAUAUACUUACAAGUCAGAAAGUUGAAGCUUGUCAAAAAUUGUCUGUAAAAGUCAUAAAAAUUUUGUAAAAAACUUUAUGCAAGAAAUGUUGUACAAUUUAAUUGUAAAAUAAAUUCUGUGUAUAAACAUAUUGGCUAAAGUUG